rnacentral:rRNA from 1 species
GAUCAACGCUGGCGGCGUGCAUAACACAUGCAAGUCGAACGAUGAAGAUUAAAAGAUUUCUUCGGAAUGAACUUAAUUGGAUUAGUGGCGGACGGGUGAGUAACGCGUGAGUAACCUGCCUUGUACAAGGGGAUAGCCGUUGGAAACGACGAAUAAUACCCUAUGACAUCAAAUAAUCGCAUGAUAAUUUGAUCAAAGAUUUAUCGGUAUAAGAUGGACUCGCGUCUGAUUAGCUAGUUGGUAGAGUAAAAGCCUACCAAGGCAACGAUCAGUAGCCGGCUUGAGAGAGUGUACGGCCACAUUGGGACUGAGACACGGCCCAGACUCCUACGGGAGGCAGCAGUGGGGAAGUUUGCACAAUGGGGGAAACCCUGAUGCAGCGACGCCGCGUGAUUUAGAAGGCCUUCGGGUUGUAAAAAUCUUUUGUAUGGGAAGAAAAUGACAGUACCAUACGAAUAAGGACCGGCUAAUUACGUG